CUUUACGUGUCGCGGACGGGAAGGUCAAUGCACCGGAAACAGGAGACCCAGCUGCUUCGAAAAAAACAACCAGACGUACUUCCAAUGCACUCUGAAGGCCCAAUCUUGUCGAGAGGCGUGGAAAGCGUACUGUAAACCGUGCAAUGUCCUGACGUGUUAUGACAGGCAUACUUACUGCGAUUGCAACUGUGUCCCUUCAUCAAAGCAGAUACCAACUGCUGGUCGGCUGAGACGACGAUGGUGAUGUGCGUGCUUUUUAACCUCAACAAUCAUCAGUCGCACUGAACUUUCUGGAUGGUGCAUGGACAACCUUGAGGUCCUCAAUAGUCAGUCCAGUUUUCAAUAAACGUAUAUGCAUACUAA